CCUACGGGAGGCAGCAGUGGGGAAUAUUGCGCAAUGGGCGAAAGCCUGACGCAGCGACGCCGCGUGAGGGAUGAAGGUCUUCGGAUCGUAAACCUCUGUCAGCAGGGAAGAACGGUCACUGUGCUAAUCAGCAGUGAAUUGACGGUACCUGCAAAGGAAGCACCGGCUAACUCCGUGCCAGCAGCCGCGGUAAUACGGAGGGUGCGAGCGUUAAUCGGAAUUACUGGGCGUAAAGCGCUCGUAGGCGGUAUGUCAAGUCAAGGGUGAAAUCCCCGCGCUCAACGUGGGAACUGCCUUUGAAACUGGCAAACUGGAGUGUGUGAGAGGAUAGUGGAAUUCCAGGUGUAGGAGUGAAAUGCGUAGAUAUCUGGAGGAACAUCAGUUGCGAAGGCGACUAUCUGGCACAUAACUGACGCUGAGGAGCGAAAGCGUGGGUAGCAAACAGGAUUAGAUACCCGAGUAGUC
rnacentral:rRNA from 1 species